rnacentral:rRNA from 1 species
UGGGGAAUAUUGGACAAUGGGCGGAAGCCUGAUCCAGCAACGCCGCGUGAGGGAUGACGGCCUUCGGGUUGUAAACCUCUUUCAGUACCGACGAAGCGAAAGUGACGGUAGGUACAGAAGAAGGACCGGCCAACUACGUGCCAGCAGCCGCGGUAAUACGUAGGGUCCGAGCGUUGUCCGGAAUUAUUGGGCGUAAAGGGCUCGUAGGCGGUUUGUCGCGUCGGGAGUGAAAACAGCGGGCUUAACUCGUUGCUUGCUUUCGAUACGGGCAGACUAGAGGUAUGCAGGGGAAGAAUGGAAUUCCUGGUGUAGCGGUGAAAUGCGCAGAUAUCAGGAGGAACACCGGUGGCGAAGGCGGUUCUCUGGGCAUUACCUGACGCUGAGGAGCGAAAGUGUGGGGAGCGAACAGGAUUAGAUACCCUGGUACGUCCAUCACCGUAAACGUUGGGC